rnacentral:rRNA from 1 species
AGGAACGAUGGCGGCGUGCCUAACACAUGCAAGUCGCACGGAGUCCAGCCUUUAAGACCUUCGGGUCAAAGAGGGGAAGACUGAGUGGCGGACGGGUGAGUAACACGUGGGCAACCUGGCUCAUAGAGGGGGAUAACAGAGAGAAAUUUCUGCUAAUACCGCAUAAGCACACACUGCCGCAUGGCAGAGGGUGAAAAGAGAAUCGCUAUGAGAUGGACCCGCGUCUGAUUAGCCAGUUGGCAGGGUAAGAGCCUACCAAAGCGACGAUCAGUAGCCGAUCUGAGAGGAUGAACGGCCACAUUGGGACUGAGACACGGCCCAAACUCCUACGGGAGGCAGCAGUGGGGGAUAUUGCACAAUGGGGGGAACCCUGAUGCAGCGACGCCGCGUGAGUGAAGAAGUAUUUCGGUAUGUAAAGCUCUAUCAGCAGGGAAGAUAAUGACAGUACCUGAAGAAGAAGCCCCGGCUAACUACGUG